AUUCAAAGAUCAUCUCUGAUCUAUGAGACUAGCAGCUGGUUCCCACAUUCCUUAUUUGCAUUUUUUUGUUGGUUAAUUUACUCCAAUGUUCAUCUUUGAACCAUGGGACUUCUUGUUUUUUUAAUUUUUUAAAAGGAUAUAAUUUCAUAUUUGAACAUCUCUCUGAUUGCAUUGAACUUCAUUCUUCUAUAUUUGGACAUACUUUUAAAAGGAUAUAUAUUUUUUUCAUUCUAUGCAUGUUCAACUCAAUAUUUGAACAUAUUCUAUGCAUGUUCUUAGUUUGGUUUGGUUGAAACUAAGAUUUUUCUUUUCCUUCUCUAUAUGUCUAUGCGCACACAUAAUCAUGGCCAUUGUCCUUAAGUUCAAGAAUAUCUAUGUUCUUUAGUAUUUCCUUUGAAACUAUUACUGUCCUGUGUCCUCUUUUCUUUCUUUAGACAGAGGGCAAAGUACAGGAAAAAGCAACAAGCAGCAGAGAUGAAAGAAAGGCAAUUAUCGCAAAGGGAUUUGGAAUAGUAGUAUUUCCUGGUUUCCUCUAUCUUGUCCUCUCCCUUUGUGUGACCUCCUUGAAAUUUAAAGGCUACACUAUAAAAUUUGUAACAACUUUUGAUGGGAACAGAUUUGAUCUGAUCUAUGCAUCAAUCACUGAGCUGAUCAAAAGCAAUCAGCUUCAGAGCUGAUCUUUUAUAUGCUGUCUACAGAAUAACAGCAGAAGAAACUGACCCAGAUCUUGAUUCAGAUCUCAAACAGCAGUAGAUCCAUCAAUGCAGCAGUAGGAGAAAGUAGAGAAGAAUAAGAAGAAAAGUGGAGGAGAGAAGAGAAAGGAGAGAGGAUGGCCUGCGGCUUUUAAUUUCUUUCAAAAUAGUCACAUAGAAUCUCAAAAUCACCACUACAGCCCCCCACUUCUUGCUUUUAAUAAACCUAACGAACUAUCAGUCCUAAAACAAUUGGUAGUCUUAAAUUGGAAAUAAACCUAAACUAAAUAGCCAACUAAACCACUUAAACUAAAUGGCAAACUAAACCAUUGAUUUUAGUUGGCUAGCUGGUUCACCAUUAGGCUCAUUUUGUCUCUCUAAACUAGACAUAUAACUCAAAUAAGAAAACAACUAAACUACUUGAACAGUACUUCUGAACAGUAUGCAAAAGUAAAUUUAACCUUAAACAACAAAUAGUGAUUGGAAAAAAUUGAAAACAACUCUAGUACAUCAAUUGCUUUCAUUGCAAGGAUCUUGUCCCUGGGAUCUUCUGUAUGAUGUCUACAUGCCCAUAAGUUGGAUCUCCAUAAUUUGAUGGUGAAGUCCUACAAAUGAUUUCCUUGUGAUCAAUUCAUCAGAUGGUUGCUUUUAGGGCAACUCGAUCAAUCGUCUGAGAACUUCAAGCACAUGAUAAAUGUCAAAAAGUAUUAGAUUAAAUAUUUAUGAAGGAAUGGAUCAACAUAGUGACUCAUCUUAAUAUCGGUAAUUAAAAGUGUCAAGCUUAUCUUCCAUGACCAAAUCCUGUCGCUGUCCAAGGUUAGCUCAGUGACAACUAGUUCUAUGCCUGUUGCUCUAAUUGUCAAUGAUUAGCUUUCUUGAUUAAUGGAUCUUCAAUCAAAAGAAUUGUGGAUUAUUGAUCAUCAAUUUUUUCAUCAUCUUUAUCAUCAACUUCAUAUGUAGACAUGGAGGGUCUUUGAUUAUUUAUUCAUCCAAGUUUCCUCUAUCUUCUGCCUCCUUGCAUCUAGAAGGGAAUUUAGAACUUGGAGAAAUAAACCCUCUCUUGAGAUAGUUGAUACUCAAGAAUCUCAUCAAACCUCGUGGAUAUAUGUUGAUCAUGGAGAAAUAAACCCUCUCUUGAGAUAGUUGAUACUCAAGAAUCUCAUCAAACCUAGUGGAUAUAUGUUGAUCAUGCUCUUCCUAUUGUCGACAUAACUCUUCGUGUCAUUGCAAUCUCUUGUCAUGUUUUGCAUUAUUCACCAUCUUGUAGUUAUUGAAGAAGCCCUCAUACGAUCGAUCUCCUGCUUUAAUACUAAAUUUAUGUAGCCUCACUGAAAUUUGAAGGCUAUAUGUAAAAUUUGCAGCAACUUCUGAUUCAAACAGAAUUAUCUGAUCUAUUUAUUGAUUACUGAACUGAUCAAAAGCAGUCAGCUUCAGAGCUGAUCUUUGAUAUGCUGUCUCGAGAAUAACGGCAGGUGGAACUGAUCCAGAUCUUGACUUGGGUCUAAAAACAGCAGUAGAUCUGCUGGAUUUAAAUGCAGCAGUAGGAGAAAGUAGAGAAGAAUAGAAAGAAAAGAGAAAGUAGAGAAAGGAUGACCUGUGGCCUCUAAUUUCUUUCAAAAUAAUCAUGUACGAUCUCAAAAUCACCACUACAGCUGGCCACUUCUCCCUUUUAAUAAACCUAACCAACCACCAAUACUACUACAACUAGGACUUGUUAAUUGGAACUAAACCUAAAUUAAAUAGCCAACUAAACCAUUGAAUUUUUUUUUUUCCUUGACUAGCUAGUUGACAAUUAGGUUCAUAUUAGGACUCUUUAAUCUAGACAUAAACUCAAGUAAUAAAGACAUUAAAAUACCCGAAUAAGCCCUGAUGACUUUUCACAGUACUGUAGUGUGGACAGAAAAUAAGGAUAAAAAAAAAAUACUGAAAACCACUCUAAUACAUCACCCUUCUCCUCUUUGUUUCCAUGCCUACCUUCGUGCUUGGCUUUGCAAAUUGUUGCAUCUCAUGUGUGCCACAUGUGUCGUCUGAUAGGUGCUAACAUGUAGAAUGCAUUGACAUGGCAUGUUCAAUUUGGACUCUUGUGUUCAGGUAACACUGAGCUUAUCUGCCUUUUUAGUUGAGAAAAACUUACCAUGAUAAUUUGUCUUCCAAUUAGCCUUGAAGAAAAGCUGUAGUUUUAUAUAUCAGGAUACUCAUGCUAGAACAUAAAUGGCAGUUAUAACUCAGAAUAACCUUGUUGCAUGGGCCUUAUCAUAGGUGAGAACAAUUCACUAAAUUAAAUUCCACAUUUUCAUACAUUUCUGCUCGCCACAUUUUCACUCAAUUAAAUUCCAGAUUUUGCUUUUGAAUAUAUUCUUGGCAUGUCUCUAAGUUUGCUGGCAGUGGCCCGUGCCUUAUGUCUUCCAUUCUUCUAAAUUCCAUUAUGAUGUAACUUGUAAGUUACUCUUAACUUUUCCCUUCUAAACCUUGAAGGUUUGUUAACUUUCAUUUCUGCACAAUCUUGGAAUCCUGAGGUAAACCCUAUCCAAGCCCUAGAAACAAAGAAAUUUCAGUCAAUGGUUUAUUCAGAAUGGGAACUUAAACCAUCCAACACUAGUGGUUUCUUCUACCAUAAUCUCAGAAGGACGUUUCACUUUCAUGGUAGGAUUCAUAUAAUUGUUCAAGAAAAAGCAAUAUUUUUUUUAAAAGUAAAGAAAUAGCAUUUUUCUCUUGACUCUCUUAAGGUAGCCAAG
rnacentral:lncRNA from 1 species